AUACAGAGGGUGCGAGCGUUAAUCGGAUUUACUGGGCGUAAAGCGCGCGUAGGUGGCUAAUUAAGUCAAAUGUGAAAUCCCCGAGCUUAACUUGGGAAUUGCAUUCGAUACUGGUUGGCUAGAGUAUGGGAGAGGAUGGUAGAAUUCCAGGUGUAGCGGUGAAAUGCGUAGAGAUCUGGAGGAAUACCGAUGGCGAAGGCAGCCAUCUGGCCUAAUACUGACACUGAGGUGCGAAAGCAUGGGGAGCAAACAGGAUUAGAUACCCUGGUAGUCCAUGCCGUAAACGAUGUCUACUAGCCGUUGGGGGAUUUGAUCCUUUAGUGGCGCAGCUAACGCGAUAAGUAGACCGCCUGGGGAGUACGGUCGCAAGACUAAAACUCAAAUGAAUUGGCGGGG
rnacentral:rRNA from 1 species